UACGUAGGGCGCAAGCGUUGUCCGGAAUCAUUGGGCGUAAAGAGCUCGUAGGCGGCCUGUUGCGUCCGCUGUGAAAUCCCGGGGCUUAACCCCGGGCGUGCAGUGGAUACGGGCUGGCUGGAGGCAGGCAGGGGGAGAACGGAAUUCCCGGUGUAGCGGUGAAAUGCGCAGAUAUCGGGAGGAACACCGGUGGCGAAGGCGGUUCUCUGGGCCUGUACUGACGCUGAGGAGCGAAAGCGUGGGGGAGCAAACAGG
rnacentral:rRNA from 1 species